rnacentral:lncRNA from 1 species
AACCAAUAAUGGCCCAGAGAGGGAUGUAAUUCAUCAAAAAUCAAUAUAUGUUAUGCACCUGGUAAACUCUAACCAUUCAAGCAGUUGACUGACAGCAAUAGAGGAAUAUUUCCCAGGGGAAGUAAGGGAGUAACUGAUAGUGUAUCAUAAUGCCCGGAGCAGAAUUAAUUUAAAUUUGCUAAUAACUUUUUGUUUCAGGAAUUACAGCACUGAGGAAUAUUUAAGUUUUGCUUGAUGUCAGUUGUCAAGCUCCAUGCAUCCUGUUCUUCCCCCUGUUGUUAGGGGAAUACCUGCUGUUACUGCACUGAUCUCUUGUGUUGCACCAGUUCUGUUCAGUGAUGAAGCUGCUGUCUCUGCUUAGGAGAAACAAACAAUACACAUGGAGGUGUUCAGUCUAUCAUAAGGAUUCUUUUUCAAGAGAAGUGCUUUCUGUUUUUAGUGCUCAGAAGGAUGCUAGGCAGUUGUCACAACCAAAUAUUACUU